GUCAGUUUGCCUAAUCUUGGCUCCAGGCAUGACUCGCUUCACCAGGGCUGAGUGAUUAUAAAGAGUCUGCAUCCACUUUUAUAGGUCCUACACUUCAGCGGACACUUCUGAUAAAGACAUGAGACCUUGUCUGUGGCUGUGCAGAGCCACCCUCCCGCCACCCAAAUGGAAGUACUUCACAGUUGCUCUGAAAAUAGAAGCUGCUAAGUCUGUCACAUUUAGAGGGAGAUUUUGCAGUCCUCUCAGUUCAAGCAUCUUUUGUUUUCCUUGUCACCUCUCCCUUGCUAAAAGUCGCUCAUGUACCAUGUGCCACCAUUAAAAUAUGUUUCACCUGAUGCUGGGGCCAGUUUUCAGCAGUACGUUCUUCCAGUGGUCUGUCCUACUCACAAAUGUCUGGACUGAUGAAAUCUUGCACGCUUUUCUGACCUGUGACUCAGGUCAUGAGCAAGUAGGGGGCUUGCAGUUAAGAAAUUGGGCGAGUCUCAGAAGAAACUUUGGAUGGUAACUUCUGAAGUUGGACUAAGUGCUUUUUGCAUUAUGAUAUUGUUACAAGCUUAUAUGGGCCAGGGAGUAGGAUGUGGUAGUUUGAA